rnacentral:rRNA from 1 species
AAUGAACGCUGGCGGCGUGCCUAAUACAUGCAAGUCGAACGUGAACGGCUUCGGCCUAGUAAAGUGGCGUACGGGUGAGUAAUACGUAGGUAAUCUACCUCGAAGCGUGGAAUAACCUGCCGAAAGGCGGGCUAAUACCGCAUAGUGCGAGAGUCUCGCGAGGGACACUCGGGAAAGGGAGCUUGUAAGAGCCCCCAUUUGAGUUGAGCCUGCGUCCCAUUAGCUAGUUGGCGGGGAAUGGCCCACCAAGGCUGUGAUGGGUANCUGGUCUAAGAGGACGAUCAGCCACACUGGAACUGAAACACGGUCCAGACUCCUACGGGAGCAGCAGUAGGGAAU